UUGAACGCUGGCGGCAGGCCUAACACAUGCAAGUCGAGCGGUAGCACAGAGAGCUUGCUCUCGGGUGACGAGCGGCGGACGGGUGAGUAAUGUCUGGGAAACUGCCUGAUGGAGGGGGAUAACUACUGGAAACGGUAGCUAAUACCGCAUAAUGUCGCAAGACCAAAGUGGGGGACCUUCGGGCCUCAUGCCAUCAGAUGUGCCCAGAUGGGAUUAGCUAGUAGGUGGGGUAACGGCUCACCUAGGCGACGAUCCCUAGCUGGUCUGAGAGGAUGACCAGCCACACUGGAACUGAGACACGGUCCAGACUCCUACGGGAGGCAGCAGUGGGGAAUAUUGCACAAUGGGCGCAAGCCUGAUGCAGCCAUGCCGCGUGUGUGAAGAAGGCCUUCGGGUUGUAAAGCACUUUCAGCGGGGAGGAAGGCGUUAAGGUUAAUAACCUAGGCGAUUGACGUUACCCGCAGAAGAAGCACCGGCUAACUCCGUGCCAGCAGCCGCGGUAAUACGGAGGGUGCAAGCGUUAAUCGGAAUUACUGGGCGUAAAGCGCACGCAGGCGGUCUGUCAAGUCGGAUGUGAAAUCCCCGGGCUCAACCUGGGAACUGCAUUCGAAACUGGCAGGCUAGAGUCUUGUAGAGGGGGGUAGAAUUCCAGGUGUAGCGGUGAAAUGCGUAGAGAUCUGGAGGAAUAGCGGUGGCGAAGGCGGCGCCCUGGACAAAGACUGACGCUCAGGUGCGAAAGCGUGGGGAGCAAACAGGAUUAGAUACCCUGGUAGUCCACGCCGUAAACGAUGUCGAUUUGGAGGUUGUGCCCUUGAGGCGUGGCUUCCGGAGCUAACGCGUUAAAUCGACCGCCUGGGGAGUACGGCCGCAAGGUUAAAACUCAAAUGAAUUGACGGGGGCCCGCACAAGCGGUGGAGCAUGUGGUUUAAUUCGAUGCAACGCGAAGAACCUUACCUGGUCUUGACAUCCACAGAACUUUCCAGAGAUGGAUUGGUGCCUUCGGGAACUGUGAGACAGGUGCUGCAUGGCUGUCGUCAGCUCGUGUUGUGAAAUGUUGGGUUAAGUCCCGCAACGAGCGCAACCCUUAUCCUUUGUUGCCAGCGGUUCGGCCGGGAACUCAAAGGAGACUGCCAGUGAUAAACUGGAGGAAGGUGGGGAUGACGUCAAGUCAUCAUGGCCCUUACGACCAGGGCUACACACGUGCUACAAUGGCAUAUACAAAGAGAAGCGACCUCGCGAGAGCAAGCGGACCUCAUAAAGUAUGUCGUAGUCCGGAUUGGAGUCUGCAACUCGACUCCAUGAAGUCGGAAUCGCUAGUAAUCGUAGAUCAGAAUGCUACGGUGAAUACGUUCCCGGGCCUUGUACACACCGCCCGUCACACCAUGGGAGUGGGUUGCAAAAGAAGUAGGUAGCUUAACCUUCGGGAGGGCGCUUACCACUUUGUGAUUCAUGACUGGGGUG
rnacentral:rRNA from 1 species